rnacentral:rRNA from 1 species
CCAUCCCCCUUAACUUCCCCCGUUGGUCCGUUUGGCCUUUCCGACCCGUACCCCAACGUAACUUUACUUUAAGUUCCGAAGGUACGUAAGUCGGGACCGGACCGUACGGCCUUUGGCCGUACGGGUUCGGUAAUUUGGUACUUUUCCGGUACUUGGUACUCGGUAACCGGAAGGGGAACCGGGGGCCGGCCGGGACGGAAGUUACGGUUUCCGGGACGUACUUACGGAAAGGGUUAAGGUUAGGACGGUCGGUAGUUAACUUAAACCUAACGUCGAAACGUAAAGGUAGUACUUCCUUACUUACUACUAUACCCCUACCCGUAAAGGAAAAGUACUUCGUAGUAGUUCCGUAACCCGUAACCCGACGGAAAGGGGACGGGGCCGUUCCUUAACCGUUAAAGGUAACGAACGUAGUACGUACGUGGGGUGAAGUCGGGAACAAGGUAGCCGUAUCGGAAGGUGCGGCUGGAUCACC